rnacentral:rRNA from 1 species
GAUGAACGCUGGCGGCGUGCCUAACACAUGCAAGUCGAACGGGAAGUGAAGACGGACUUAUUCGGGCGGAAGGCUAUAUUUCGAGUGGUGGAGGGGUGAGUAGCGCGUGGGUAACCUGCCUGGUACACGGAGAUAACAUUUGGAAAAGACCGCUUAUACCGUAUAAGACCACAGCACCGAACGGUGCGCCGGUCAAAACUCCGGUAGUAUGGGAUGGACCCGCGUGGGAUUAGGCAGUUGGCCGGGUAACGGCCCACCAAAGCGACGAUCGUUAGCCGAUCUGUGAGGAUGGCCGGCCACAUUGGGACUGAGACACGGUCCAAACUCCUACGGGAGGCAGCAGUGGGGAAUAUUGCAAAAUGGCGGAAGCCCUGAUGCAGCGAGGCCGGGUGAGUAAAGAAGUAGUGCGGUAAGUAAAGCACUUUCAGCAGGGAAGGAAAUGACGGUACCUGAAGAAUAAGCCCCGGCUAACUACGUG